ensembl:lncRNA
CACACACACAUGCACGCAUGCAUACUAAGCCACUUCAGUUGUGUCAGACUCUUUGUGACCUCAUGGACUGUGUAACCCACCAGGUUUCUCUGUCCAUGGAAUUUCCAGGCAAGAACACUGAAGCGGGUUGCCAUGGUCUCCUGAAAGGGAUCUUCCUGAGCCAGGGAUUGAGCCCACGUCUCUUAUGUCUCCUGCAUUGGCAGGAGAUGUGGGUUCAAUUCCCGGGUCAGGAAGAUUCCCUGGAGGUGGUCAUGGCUACCCACUUCAGUAUCCUUGCCUGGAGAAUCCCAUGGAUAGACGAGCCUGGUGGGCUACAGUCCAUAGAGUCAUGAGGAGUCAGACAAGACUGAAGCGACUUAGCACAGCACAGCAUGGAGCGAGAUAAGAACAGGGAGGAUCAGAGACAACCUAAGUUACCCAAGGACAAAGUCAUAUCCCAGGUCACCGGCAAAGGUGGUGGACAAUUCUGGUCAUCUGGGGCAGGAUCUGCUCUCUUUUCGAACACAAGGCCUCAGGCCAUCCACAGUAGUUCUCAACAUCUCAUGAUGCAGCCCAGAGAAACAAGCCCUGAGUGAAAAGUGUCCUCAGGGCCGCAAACUGAUCAACAGCCGGACCUUGAGCCCACACAUCUCCUGGCUCCUGACCUUACUGCUUGGUGGGCACAAAAAGUGCCUGAGAGUGAACUUACGCCUCCAUUCACCAGGAAUGACCUUGCUGAAUAUACAGUGACUGUGUCUACACUGGCCAUGUUGCUUUUUCUGACUUCUCAUGAUGUCCCAUCUGUCUGGAAAGCUGGUGGACCUAUCCCUCAUUUAUUAAUUAAUUGCUACCUGUUUUUUGAUGCUUGCUCAUUGAAAGGAGAGCUAUAAUGAACCUAGAUAGCAUACUGAAAAGCAGAGACAUCACUUUGAUAGCAAAGUUUGUAUAGUCUAAGCUAUGGUUUUUCCAGUAGUCAUGUACAGAUGUGAAAGCUGCACCAUGAAGAAGGCUGAGUGCCAAGGAAUUGAUGCUUUUGAACUGUGGUGUUGGAGAAGACUCUUGAGAGUCCCUAGACUACAAGGAGAUCAAACCAGUCAAUCCUAAAGGAGAUCAACUCUGUCUAUUCAUUGGAAGGACUGAUGCUGAAGCUGAAGCUCCAAUACUUUGGUCACCUGACGUGAAGAGCUGAUUCACUGGAAAAGACCCUGAUGAUGGGAAAUAUUGAAGGGAAAAAGAGAAGGGGCAGCAGAGGAUGAGACAGUUAGAUCGCAUCAUUGACUCAACGGACAUGAAUUUUAGCAAACUCUGGGUAGAUCCAUUCCCCCUCUUAUAUGUUUUCAUAGACCCUGAUCAUAUAUGUAGCCCUUGUAAAAAC